CCUAUCCGGCGCAGGCGCAGGACGUUUGAGGGGAGCCGUCCUUAGUACGAGAGGACCGGGACGGACGGACCUCCGGUGCAUCAGUUGGGAAUCAGUCCCAUGGCUGAGUAGCCGUGUCCGGCCGGGAUAAACGCUGAAGGCAUCUAAGCGUGAAGCCCCCCCCGAGAUGAGACGUCCCAUUCGAAAGAAGAAAGGCCCCUUGAAGAACACGAGGUGGAUAGGGCGGGAGUGUAAGCGCGGCAACGCGUUCAGCCGACCGUCACUAAUAGGCCGAGGGCUUAACCAU
rnacentral:rRNA from 1 species